ACCAGAGUCUGAACCUCUCAGAAUCUUCUUUUGAUCUUGACCUCUUUCUUUAGAACCUCUUAAAUCCUUUAUCCUAUUAGGAAUAGACUUGUCUUAAAAGACCAAGCCUUGUCCUAAAGACCUAGGGUUGUAAGAAAGGGAGAGAAGGAGCAGAUAGGGUUAUGUAAGAGGAGUGAUCAAUCCUAUCUGUCACCCCCUAUUUAUAGAACCAAAGGGGGCACCAAU
rnacentral:lncRNA from 1 species